rnacentral:rRNA from 1 species
UGGGAUCCUGAGUACGGCGAGACACGAGGAAUCUUGUCGGAAGCAGGCGGGACCAUCCGCCAAGGCUAAAUAUAAACGAGUGAGCGAUAGUGAACCAGUACCGUGAGGGAAAGGUGAAAAGAACCGCGGGAGCGGAGUGAAAGAGAACCUGAAACCGUAUGCCUACAAGAAGUCAGAGCCCGUUAAGGGGUGAUGGCGUGCCUUUUGUAGAAUGAACCGGCGAGUUGCGACAGACUGCGAGGUUAAGGAGGAAAGACCGGAGCCGAAGCGAAAGCGAGUCUUAACAGGGCGAAAGUAGGAUGUUGCAGACCCGAAACCGGGUGAUCUAGCCAUGAGCAGGUUGAAGUUGAGGUGAAACUCAAUGGAGGACCGAACCGACUACCGUUGAAAAGUUAGCGGAUGACUUGUGGCUAGGGGAGAAAUUCCAAUCGAACCCGGAGAUAGCUGGUUCUCCCCGAAAUAGCUUUAGGGCUAGCGUCGGAAAGAACCUUAGUGAAGGUAGAGCACUGAAUGUGUGAUGGCCCCAUCCCGGGGUACUGAAUACAAUCAAACUGCGAAUGUCAUUAAGGAUGUCCGGCAGUCAGACUGUGAGUGAUAAGGUCCAUGGUCAAGAGGGAAACAGCCCAGACCGCCAGUUAAGGUCCCAAAAUACAGGCUAAGUGGAAAAGGAUGUGGGGAUGCCCAGACAACUAGGAGGUUGGCUCAGAAGCAGCCAUCCUUUAAAGAGUGCGUAACAGCUCACUAGUCGAGUGACCCUGCGCCGAAAAUGUACCGGGGCUAAGCCUGAUACCGAAACUGCGGAUUGUAGGAAACUAUAGUGGUAGGGGAGCGUUGUAUACGAGUAGAAGCCGUACCGUGAGGAGCGGUGGAUUGUAUAGAAGUGAGAAUGCCGGUGUGAGUAGCGAGAUGUAGGUGAGAAUCCUACACACCGAAAGCCCAAGGAUUCCAGGGGAAGGUUCGUCCGCCCUGGGUAAGUCGGGACCUAACGCGAGGCCGAAAGGCGUAGUGGAUGGAAAGCAGGCGAAAGAUUCCUGCACCCGUAUAUGGAGCGAAGGAGUGACGGAGACGGAUAGUGUGACCCUCUUAAUGGAUUGAGGGCGAAGCGAAGCGGCUGGUUACCAGGCAAAUCCGGUAACCAUAAGGCUAGAGCGUGAGAGGUAAGCGAAAUCUUAGGAAAGUAGCGAAGCACAUGAUGACGGCUUCCAGGAAAAGCUUCUGGCAAUGCAUAUGCGGCCCGUACCAAAACCGACACAGGUGGGCAGGGAGAGAAUCCCGAGGUGAGCGAGAGAACUGUUGCCAAGGAACUCGGCAAAAUGACUCCGUAAGUUAGCGAGAAGGAGUGCUUAAGCAAUUAAGCCGCAGUGAAGAGGCCCAAGCGACUGUUUAACUAAAACACAGCUCUCUGCGAAGUCGCAAGACGAAGUAUAGGGGGUGACACCUGCCCGGUGCUGGAAGGUUAAGAGGAUCUGUUAAGAGCGAUCUGAAGCAGUGAUCCGAAGCCCCAGUGAACGGCGGCCGUAACUAUAACGGUCCUAAGGUAGCGAAAUUCCUUGUCAGGUAAGUUCUGACCCGCACGAAAGGUGUAACGAUUUGGGCGCUGUCUCGGCAGCAGACUCGGUGAAAUCUUAGUACCUGUGAAAAUGCAGGUUACCCGCAACUAGACGGAAAGACCCCAUGGAGCUUUACUGCAGCCUGAUAUUGAAUUCUGGUCAUACAUGUACAGGAUAGGUGGGAGACAAAGAGACGUGCACGCCAGUGUACGAGGAGUCGACGUUGGGAUACCACUCUUGUGUGACCGGGGUUCUAACCUGGUAUCGAGAACAGGUACGGGGAGAGUGUCAGGUGGGCAGUUUGACUGGGGCGGUCGCCUCCCAAAGAGUAACGGAGGCGCCCAAAGGUACGCUCAGAUUGGAUGGAAACCAAUCGACGAGUGCAAUUGCAGAAGCGUGCUUGACUGUGAGACUUACAAGUCGAACAGGGACGAAAGUCGGGAAUAGUGAUCCGGCGGUGCCGAAUGGAAGGGCCGUCGCUCAACGGAUAAAAGCUACCCUGGGGAUAACAGGCUGAUCUCCCCCAAGAGUCCACAUCGACGGGGAGGUUUGGCACCUCGAUGUCGGCUCAUCGCAUCCUGGGGCUGAAGUAGGUCCCAAGGGUUGGGCUGUUCGCCCAUUAAAGCGGUACGCGAGCUGGGUUCAGAACGUCGUGAGACAGUUCGGUCCCUAUCUGUUGUGGGCGAAGGAGAUCUGCGGAGAGCUGUCCUCAGUACGAGAGGACCGGGAUGGACCUACCGCUGGUGCACCGGUUGUUCCGCCAGGGGCAUAGCCGGGUAGCUAAGUAGGGAAAGGAUAAGCGCUGAAAGCAUCUAAGCACGAAGCCUACUCCAAGAUGAGAUCUCCCAUUCGCAAGAAGUAAGACCCCUUAAAGACGAUAAGGUAGAUAGGCCAGAGAUGGAAGUGCAGUGAUGUACGGAGUUGACUGGUACUAAUCGGUCGAGGACUUAAUCAG